GACGGGUGAGUAACACGUGGGAAUCUACCCAUCAGUACGGAAUAACUUUUAGAAAUAAAAGCUAAUACCGUAUAUUCUCUACGGAAGAAAGAUUUAUCGCUGAUGGAUGAGCCCGCGUCAGAUUAGGUCGUUGGUGAGGUAACGGCUCACCAAGCCGACGAUCUGUAGCUGGUCUGAGAGGAUGAUCAGCCACACUGGGACUGAGACACGGCCCAGACUCCUACGGGAGGCAGCAGUGGGGAAUAUUGGACAAUGGGCGAAAGCCUGAUCCAGCAAUACCGAGUGAGUGAUGAAGGCCUUAGGGUUGUAAAGCUCUUUUAGCAAGGAAGAUAAUGACGUUACUUGCAGAAAAAGCCCCGGCUAACUCCGUG
rnacentral:rRNA from 1 species